rnacentral:rRNA from 1 species
UCAGGAUGAACGCUAGCGACAGGCUAACACACGCAAGUCAGGGGCAGGCAUAAAAGUAGCAAUACUUGGUGGCGACCGGCGCACGGGUGAGUAACACGUAUGCAACCUGCCUGUAAGCGGGGAAUAACCCGUUGAAAGACGGACUAAUACCGCAUAAUACUAAAUUACUGCAUGGUAAUUUAUUUAAACAUUUAUGGCUUACAGAUGGGCAUGCGCAUGAUUAGCUAGUUGGAGAGGUAACGGCUCCCCAAGGCAACGAUCAUUAGGGGUUCUGAGAGGAAGGUCCCCCACACUGGUACUGAGACACGGACCAGACUCCUACGGGAGGCAGCAGUGAGGAAUAUUGGUCAAUGGACGAGAGUCUGAACCAGCCAAGUCGCGUGCAGGAAGAAUGUCCCUAUGGAUUGUAAACUGCUUUUGCAGGGGAAUAAAGUGCAUCACGUGUGAUGUUUUGUAUGUACUCUGCGAAUAAGGAUCGGCUAACUCCGUGCCAGCCGCUGC